AACGCACAUUGCGCCCAUUAGUAUUCUAGUGGGCAUGCCUGUUCGAGCGUCAUUAAAUCCAUUAAGCCUAAUUGCUUAGCGUUGGGAGCAUUACCGCACGGUAACUCCUUAAAGUCAGUGGCAGGGUUACGGUACACUCUAAGCGUAGUAGAUUUCUUUCUCGCUUUUGCUGUGGCCGUGGCCGUUGCCAUAAGCCUAUUAUUUUCUUGGUUGACCUCGGAUCAGGUAGGAAUACCCGCUGAACUUAA
rnacentral:misc_RNA from 1 species